rnacentral:misc_RNA from 1 species
AAGUCGUAACAAGGUUUCCGUAGGUGAACCUGCGGAAGGAUCAUUAUUGAAUGAACUUGGCUUAGUUGUUGCUGGUCUUUUCGAAGGCAUGUGCACGCUAUGUCAUCUUUAUCUCUCCACCUGUGCACCUUUUGUAGACCUAGAUUCAACUUUCCGGGGAAACUCGGGUUGUGAGGAAUUGCUAAUUUCAUUAGCUUUCCUUGUAUGUCUCUAGGCCUAUGUUUUUCAUAUACACCAUAAGAAUGUAAUAGAAUGUAAAUUGGGCUUUAAUGUCCUAUAAAUCAUAUACAACUUUCAGCAACGGAUCUCUUGGCUCUC